CUAAGAAUCUGGCAGCACUAAAUGGAGGAACUGUUGACGAUGACAUUCCUCAAGAUAUUCCAGAAGUUGAAAUCAUGCGUGAUGCUGUCUAUGAUCAUGGUUCUGAGGAUGUUCCCUUAUGGUCAGAUCAAUGGAAUGAUGUAAUGGAACCAGAUAAAGUUCUGGAGGAACAGAUCAUGAAAGACAAGGAAAGUGCAAGCCUAGUCGUGGAAGAGAUGGUCGAACGAGACUAACCACCUUCUGCCACUUCAGCAGAGGUUCAAGAAUUCACUAAUCCACAGAUAUCUUUUGGGCAUCAGUCACCUGAUUUAGUACUUCAAUCAACACCACCUCCUGAGGAGCCAAAAGCAAGGAGAAGAAAGCGAAUGCUACUCAUUGAUGAGGAUGAUAUAGUAUUGUCGAAUGAUAAAAUUGGAAGGCUACUAAAUGAUACCAGUGCAUUGAAACGCCGGAGAAAGAAUGCUCCGUUGUUUUCUUUGGACAUAUGGAAACUAAACAAGAGACAUACAAAAGAUGGAAUGUUAUUUGAGCCUUUAAUAACCGGAGUACAUAAUGAUAUCUGCAACAUCUACAAGGAAGACUUCAUUUCAGCAAAAAUCAAGACCGCUUCCUCAUUAGAGGAUCAUGUAGAACCCAGUGGCAACCAUUCCCCUCUACCUGGGAAUGAUCUUGGGAUUGAAACAGAAAGACUACGUGAUAAUCAAGAAUUUGCAUGCACCAAUUUGUUGUCUGAAAUUUUUCCUUCACCGAAUAAAUUCAUUUCCUCUCCACAAAUGCCACGCCGGACCCAGCAGCAUCUACUGGGCGUGUUGGUUCUGAUAUGGAGACCCCAUCAACAUGGUACGGAGACGGACUAGAUGUGGAGAAUACCAUUCUGUCUGAUAUUCCUGAGUUUGAUAAUUCUGCUGGGGAUUUGAGUUUUCUGGACCAAGAUGACAGGACUCCCGUUGGAACUCCUGAAGUUGGUUAUUUAUCAAGUAAUGAAGGGGGAACACCAGAGUUUGACACAUUAUCUGCUAGAACAAGGUAACACAUGGUGUUGGAGAAUUGUGGACUUGUCGAUGCAAAUCAAAAUGAACCUUAUGGUGAUAUAACUUUGAAAGUUACUUUCAAACUGACGGAACAAUUUUCAAGCUGAGUUUAUUGUGUCUAUAUAUAGAGACAUACAGCAUUCAGUAACUAUAUGAAGAUGGAUAACCGUGGCAGCCAUUUUGUCAAAAUUAUUUGGAGUAUCAAUGGCUGAUUUUAAAUUAUUAUUUUCACAGUUUCUAUAUUAGAUUCCAUUGUAUAUUAUCUGCUAGUAACAGGUUAGACUUAGCCCAUAUAAAUGUUUUUUUGAAAUUAUAUGGAAUAUUUUAACACACAAAUGUAAAUAGUUAUGGUAAUAAGUUUCAGGU